ACUAGGUAGGUAGUGAACAUUGCCCAAAAAUCCCUAAGAACUGCAAUGCACGAAUAUGAAGAAAAGUAAUGUAGUGUCGAGUGGGAAUGGAAUUUGUACUCCAAGUGCAGAUUCAAUCCAUUUUGAGUCGAUUUCCGAAUGAUUUCAAACUUUCAGAGGAGCGUGCCCUAACGCCACUCAAGCGCAGAUUCGAUCCAUUUUUACGAAUAACUGUCCAGAUUCAAUUCACAACGUGCCCUAACGGCACUCAAAUUACAAUGGCCGUUGGAAAAAGCAGAUCGUGUUACCGUUGGAAAAAGCAGGAUUUCAAUUCUUUUAAGAGGAGAUAUACUAGAGAAGCACGGCAGAUUAUAUUGUUCUUUCAGUUUUUUUGGUUUUCUUUUUAAGUUUAAUUUUUUUUUGGCGUGGCCAUGCUUCCGAGUCUUGCUUUCCUGAGUUUUAGUUUGCAAUUUUUACUUUUUAUACUCAGAUGUUUUCAUUUACUUUCUGGGUUUGAAUUGCAUUUUUUUGAUUUGGUAUUUUGUGUAUUUCUUUUCUGUGGAGCGUCAUUUUUUAUGGGCAUGGAGGUAGGCAGCAGCAAGAAUUCUACGUUCUGGAGUGGCUGAUUGGAGUUAUGGACAGAAAUUGGGCAGAGCUAGAGGCCAUUGACUCUGCAUGACCCCACCAAUACUUUCACCAUAUCUUGGUCACCAUGUCGUCAAGUGUUUAGAAAUGGUUGGAGGCUUGAAUGGGUAGCUGUUGAAGUCAAAUAAUGAAUGUAAUAUUUAAAAUGUUAGGAAUCUUGAAUGGGCUGCUGAAUGGAACAUUUAAUAUUUAAAAUUGAAGAAAACGUUGCACUUGCUGAAACCAGUAUUUGUAAACAGAUUGGUUGUUUAAUGCCAAAUUUUUAUUUGGAAGGGGUUGCAUUGGCCCCCUUCCCAAGACUUUGGGGAAUGGUUAUUGGCCAUGACCAUUCUUUUAUGACCA